rnacentral:tRNA from 1 species
AAUUAGAUAACUAAAAAUAAGUAUUGAUCUUUUAAAUCAAAAAUAGUAAUAUACUUCUAAUUA